rnacentral:rRNA from 1 species
GACGAACUGCCCAAACGUUGUUCGGAAUCACUGGGCUUAAAGGGCGCGUAGGCGGCAGAUCAAGUCAGGGGUGAAAUCCGGCAGCUCAACUGUCGAAGUGCCUUUGAUACUGAUUUGCUCGAGGGAUAUAGGGGUCUGUGGAACUUCUGGUGGAGCGGUGAAAUGCGGUGAUAUCAGAAGGAACGCCGGUGGCGAAAGCGACGGACUGGAUAUCUUCUGACGCUGAGGCGCGAAAGCUAGGGGAGCAAACGGG